GAUGAACGCUGGCGGCGUGCCUAAUACAUGCAAGUCGAGCGAACAGAUGAGGAGCUUGCUCCUCUGACGUUAGCGGCGGACGGGUGAGUAACACGUGGAUAACCUACCUAUAAGACUGGGAUAACUUCGGGAAACCGGAGCUAAUACCGGAUAAUAUAUUGAACCGCAUGGUUCAAUAGUGAAAGACGGUUUUGCUGUCACUUAUAGAUGGAUCCGCGCCGCAUUAGCUAGUUGGUAAGGUAACGGCUUACCAAGGCAACGAUGCGUAGCCGACCUGAGAGGGUGAUCGGCCACACUGGAACUGAGACACGGUCCAGACUCCUACGGGAGGCAGCAGUAGGGAAUCUUCCGCAAUGGGCGAAAGCCUGACGGAGCAACGCCGCGUGAGUGAUGAAGGUCUUCGGAUCGUAAAACUCUGUUAUUAGGGAAGAACAAAUGUGUAAGUAACUAUGCACGUCUUGACGGUACCUAAUCAGCAAGCCACGGCUAACUACGUG
rnacentral:rRNA from 1 species